AUUGAACGCUGGCGGCAGGCCUAACACAUGCAAGUCGAGCGGAUGAAGGGAGCUUGCUCCUGGAUUCAGCGGCGGACGGGUGAGUAAUGCCUAGGAAUCUGCCUGGUAGUGGGGGAUAACGUCCGGAAACGGGCGCUAAUACCGCAUACGUCCUGAGGGAGAAAGUGGGGGAUCUUCGGACCUCACGCUAUCAGAUGAGCCUAGGUCGGAUUAGCUAGUUGGUGGGGUAAAGGCCUACCAAGGCGACGAUCCGUAACUGGUCUGAGAGGAUGAUCAGUCACACUGGAACUGAGACACGGUCCAGACUCCUACGGGAGGCAGCAGUGGGGAAUAUUGGACAAUGGGCAAAGCCUGAUCCAGCCAUGCCGCGUGUGUGAAGAAGGUCUUCGGAUUGUAAAGCACUUUAAGUUGGGAGGAAGGGCAGUAAGUUAAUACCUUGCUGUUUUGACGUUACCAACAGAAUAAGCACCGGCUAACUUCGUG
rnacentral:rRNA from 1 species